UGGAUUAUAGAAAUUUACAUCACAGUCAAGC
rnacentral:piRNA from 1 species